rnacentral:rRNA from 1 species
AACGCCGCGUGGAGGAUGAAGGCCUUCGGGUUGUAAACUCCUGUCAGGUGGAGCGAAAAGCGCCGGUAAAUAGCCGGCGUCUAUGACGGUACCACCAGAGGAAGCCCCGGCUAACUCCGUGCCAGCCCCCUUCGGUGACUGAGCGGGCUGGCAAGGCGCAUA